GACGAACGCUGGCGGCGUGCUUAACACAUGCAAGUCGAACGGAAAGGCCCUGCUUUUGUGGGGUGCUCGAGUGGCGAACGGGUGAGUAACACGUGAGUAACCUGCCCUUGACUUUGGGAUAACUUCAGGAAACUGGGGCUAAUACCGGAUAGGAGCUCCCGCUGCAUGGUGGGGGUUGGAAAGUUUCGGCGGUUGGGGAUGGACUCGCGGCUUAUCAGCUUGUUGGUGGGGUAGUGGCUUACCAAGGCUUUGACGGGUAGCCGGCCUGAGAGGGUGACCGGCCACAUUGGGACUGAGAUACGGCCCAGACUCCUACGGGAGGCAGCAGUGGGGAAUAUUGCACAAUGGGCGGAAGCCUGAUGCAGCAACGCCGCGUGCGGGAUGACGGCCUUCGGGUUGUAAACCGCUUUCGCCUGUGACGAAGCGUGAGUGACGGUAAUGGGUAAAGAAGCACCGGCUAACUACGUGCCAGCCGCCGCCGUAA
rnacentral:rRNA from 1 species